UUAUAUUGAUCCAAGAGAUGAUUUAAGAUAAUGGAUGGUGUUGAUUGGAUCAAAAGUGGGCUAAAAAGAGCUUAAAUUGGAAGAGAAAGAAAUGGGUAAGUUAGGUUUUUGAUUUUGGGUUUUAUGUGGAGAGAUGAUGAAAUCAAGUUUUGAGAGUGAAAAUUGAAGGAGUAAUGGAUGAAUAAUGAGUUGGAUGAUUGAUUUUGGCAAGAGAAUGAGUGAAAGAUGAAGAAAUUUGAGAGAGAAAUGGAGACGUA
rnacentral:lncRNA from 1 species